GCGGGAUCGUAGGGAAAUGGUAAGGGACGAGAAUGGCAUAAUUCAGCUUCCCAAGCUGAUAGCGCGGGUUCGAUUCCCGUCAUCCGCUCCA
rnacentral:tRNA from 1 species